AGUGAACGCUGGCGGUAGGCCUAACACAUGCAAGUCGAACGGCAGCACAGUAAGAGCUUGCUCUUACGGGUGGCGAGUGGCGGACGGGUGAGGAAUACAUCGGAAUCUACUUUUUCGUGGGGGAUAACGUAGGGAAACUUACGCUAAUACCGCAUACGACCUACGGGUGAAAGCAGGGGAUCUUCGGACCUUGCGCGAUUGAAUGAGCCGAUGUCGGAUUAGCUAGUUGGCGGGGUAAAGGCCCACCAAGGCGACGAUCCGUAGCUGGUCUGAGAGGAUGAUCAGCCCCACUGGAACUGAGACACGGUCCAGACUCCUACGAGAGGCAGCAGUGGGGAAUAUUGGACAGUGGGCGCAAGCCUGAUCCAGCCAUACCGCGUGGGUGAAGAAGGCCUUCGGGUUGUAAAGCCCUUUUGUUGGGAAAGAAAAGCAGCAGGUUAAUACCCCGCUGUUCUGACGGUACCCAAAGAAUAAGCACCGGCUAACUUCGUG
rnacentral:rRNA from 1 species